AUCCAUAUGACGAAUCUCAGAUAGGACAAAAUGCGCAUCGUGGAU
rnacentral:hammerhead_ribozyme from 1 species